rnacentral:rRNA from 1 species
CCUACGGGUGGCAGCAGUGAGGAAUAUUGGUCAAUGGACGCAAGUCUGAACCAGCCAUGCCGCGUGCAGAAAGACGGCUCUAUGAGUUGUAAACUGCUUUUGUACGAGGGUAAACGCAGAUACGAGUAUCUGUCUGAAAGUAUCGUACGAAUAAGGCUCGGCUAACUCCGUGCCAGCAGCCGCGGUAAUACGGAGGAUUCAAGCGUUAUCCGGAUUGAUUGGGUUUAAAGGGUGCGUAGGCGGUCUGAUAAGUUAGAGGUUGAAUCCCGCGGCUCAACUUCUGAAUUGCGUGUGAUACUGUUCGGCUAGAGAGUAGUUGCGGUAGGCGGAAUGUAUGGUGUAGCGGUGAAAUGCUUAGAGAUCAUACAGAACACCGAUUGCGAAGGCAGCUUACCAGGCUACUUCUGACGUUGAGGCACGAAAGCGUGGGGAGCAAACAGGAUUAGAUACCCGUGUAGUC